rnacentral:lncRNA from 1 species
CGCCUGCACCGCCACCGCCGCCUCGAGGAUCGCGCGAACCUGCAUUCGGCCAAUCUCGGGGUAGGUGAUGGCGAGGCGGCAACCCCGGAAGCCGAGCAUGGGGUUAAUCUCCGCGAGCUUCUCUAUGCGCUCCACGACCUCGUGCUCGUCCGCGCCGGUGUCGGCGGAGAGCAUCGCGACGAUCUCGUCGAGGUCGCCGUCGGGGAGAAACUCGUGAAGCGGCGGGUCGAGAAGACGAAUCGUCACCGGGCACCCGUCCAUGGCGCGGAAGAUCCCCUCGAAAUCCUCGCGCUGGUACGGGAGGAGGUCGGUCAGCGCCGCCUCACGCGUCGCGGUGUCCGCGGCCAUGAUCAUGCGGCGCACGGCCAUGAUUCUCUCGC